rnacentral:rRNA from 1 species
AUUGAACGCUGGCGGCAGGCCUAACACAUGCAAGUCGAACGAGUGGCGGACGGGUGAGUAAUGUCUGGGAACCUGCCUGAUGGAUGGGGCUAACUACUGGAAACGGUAGCUAAUACCGCAUACCAUCGGAUGUGCCCAGCUGGGAUUAGCUAGUAGGUGGGGUAAAGGCUCACCUCGGCGACGAUCCCUAGCUGGUCUGAGAGGAUGACCGGCUAAACUGGAACUGAGACACGGUGCAGACUCCGACGGGAGGCAGAAGUGGGGAAUAUUGCAGAAUGGGCGCAAGCCGGAUGCAGCCAUGCCGCGUGUAGGAAGAAGGCCUUCGGGUUGUAAAGUACUUUCAGUGGGGCGGCGUUACCCGCAGAAGAAGCACCGGCUAACUCCGGGCCAGCAGCCGCGGUAAUAC